GACGUGACUUCAGAGUUUGAUCCUGGCUCAGGAUGAACGCUGGCGGCGUGCUUAACACAUGCAAGUCGAACGAUGGAGCCCAGCUUGCUGGGUGGAUUAGUGGCGAACGGGUGAGUAACACGUGAGUAACCUGCCCCCGACUCUGGGAUAAGCCCGGGAAACUGGGUCUAAUACCGGAUAUUACCUCUUGCCGCAUGGCAGGUGGUGGAAAGAUUUAUCGGUGGGGAUGGACUCGCGGCCUAUCAGCCUGUUGGUGAGGUAAUGGCUCACCAAGGCGACGACGGGUAGCCGGCCUGAGAGGGUGACCGGCCACACUGGGACUGAGACACGGCCCAG
rnacentral:rRNA from 1 species